rnacentral:rRNA from 1 species
UACGUAGGGUGCGAGCGUUGUCCGGAAUUAUUGGGCGUAAAGAGCUUGUAGGCGGUUUGUCGCGUCUGCUGUGAAAAUCCGGGGCUCAACCCCGGACUUGCAGUGGGUACGGGCAGACUAGAGUGUGGUAGGGGAGACUGGAAUUCCUGGUGUAGCGGUGAAAUGCGCAGAUAUCAGGAGGAACACCGAUGGCGAAGGCAGGUCUCUGGGCCACUACUGACGCUGAGAAGCGAAAGCGUGGGGGAGCGAACAGG